AUUGAACGCUGGCGGCAGGCCUAACACAUGCAAGUCGAGCGAGCGGCGGACGGGUGAGUAAUGCCUGGGAAUUGCCCAGUCGAGGGGGAUAACAGUUGGAAACGACUGCUAAUACCGCAUACGAUUGGAUUGCCCAGGUGGGAUGAGCUAGUUGGUGAGUUAAUGGCUCACCAAGGCGACGAUCCCUAGCUGGUCUGCGUGGAUGAGCAGCCAAACUGGAACUGAGACACGGUCCAGACUCCGACGGGAGGCAGCAGUGGGGAAUAGUGCAAAAUGGGGGAAUGCCUGAUGCAGCCAUGCCGCGUGGGUGAAGAAGGCCUUAGGGUUGUAAAGUACUUUCAGCGAGGAGGCGUUACUCGCAGAAGAAGCACCGGCUAACUCCGUGCCAGCAGCCGCGGUAAUUC
rnacentral:rRNA from 1 species